UGAGAGGCAAGUGUACGCGAUCAAAGAUGGAUCGGGUUUUUUGGUUAUUGUUUCUGUUGGUCUCUGUACCGCUGAUCAAAGCACAAAUGACCGCUGAUGAUUCAGACGAUGGCGGAAGCGGUGACGAUACCGGAAGCGGUGACGAUACCGGAAGCGGUGACAGUAGCGGAAGCGAUGGCGGUACCGGUGGCGAUGGCGGUACCGGAGGCGAUGGCGGUACCGGUGGCGAUGGCGGUACCGGUGGCGAUGG